CGUACUUAGUCUUGCUCUUCGUUUAGUCACCCCGCGCAGCGCACAGCCAUAACAGCCACAGCCCGCAGCCCGGCUUGCGCACCAUGUCCUUGCGGUCAUGUGCGUAACACUAUGAAGGUCGGCAGCCAACCAGGGGGCGGGUGUUGUUUCUCUGGGUCGCAGAUGGCCCUUCGCGGCGUGGGUACGGCGUGCCCCCGCUUGUCGGGCUGUCCCUUCAAUUGUAAUCCGCAUCCUUGCGGUUGCUUUGGGGUUGACGUUGCUUGCCUCGCGCCUAGCGCCAUAGCUUCUACGCUGCAGUGCAUCACGCCUCCUGUCCCUCCCUCCCUCCCUUACAUGUCGUGCUGGGCACCGGUGGCGCUGGUGUUCUCCAGGUUGGGCGCAUCCUUUCUGGUAGUCCCAACGCCAGCCCGGCCGGCGUCGUCCAGCCCAGCCAUCCCAAUACAGCAGCCACCUUCCGUC
rnacentral:lncRNA from 1 species